UACGUAGGGUGCAAGCGUUGUCCGGAAUUAUUGGGCGUAAAGAGCUCGUAGGCGGUCUGUCGCGUCGGCUGUGAAAACCCGAGGCUCAACCUCGGGCCUGCAGUCGAUACGGGCAGACUAGAGUACUGCAGGGGAGACUGGAAUUCCUGGUGUAGCGGUGAAAUGCGCAGAUAUCGGGAGGAACACCUAUGGCGAAGGCAGCUCGCUGGGACGUUACUGACGCUGAGACGCGAAAGCGUGGGGAGCAAACAGG
rnacentral:rRNA from 1 species